rnacentral:rRNA from 1 species
GCAGUCGCCGCGGGAAUACGUAGGGUGCGAGCGUUGUCCGGAAUUACUGGGCGUAAAGAGCUCGUAGGCGGUUUGUCGCGUCGUCUGUGAAAUUCUGCAGCUUAACUGUAGGCGUGCAGGCGAUACGGGCAGACUUGAGUACUACAGGGGAGACUGGAAUUCCUGGUGUAGCGGUGAAAUGCGCAGAUAUCAGGAGGAACACCGGUGGCGAAGGCGGGUCUCUGGGUAGUAACUGACGCUGAGGAGCGAAAGCGUGGGUAGCGAACAGGAUUAGAUACCCGGGUAGUCCCUGUCUCUUAUAC